rnacentral:piRNA from 1 species
UGAAAUGUUGGCCUUUAUAAGUCUUGCCUUGU